rnacentral:lncRNA from 1 species
AAAGUACAAAAGUAAGUUUUAGAAUUAUCGUCUCCACAGGGACUAGUGUGAUAUUAAAAACCGUUCAACAAUUACCAUAAUUUUAAGUGAAGUAUUUAAAGUUUGUUUUGUUGUAAAAACUUGCAAAAGCAUAUAAAUGCAAAUAAAAAUGUGAUUAAAGAUUCAGAGAGAAAAGGUUGUCGGGAUUAGACUUCACUCUUUCACUUAUAUGUAAGUUUCUAAAACAUUCAUAUAUAUUUUAACUAAUCAUCAACAU